rnacentral:rRNA from 1 species
UACAGAGGUCUCAAGCGUUGUUCGGAUUCAUUGGGCGUAAAGAGCUCGUAGGCGGUCUGUUGCGUCCGCUGUGAAAACCCGGGGCUUAACCCUGGGCUGGCAGUGGAUACGGACAGACUAGAGGUAGGUAGGGGAGAAUGGAAUUCCCGGUGUAGCGGUGAAAUGCGCAGAUAUCGGGAGGAACACCGGUGGCGAAGGCGGUUCUCUGGGCCUUACCUGACGCUGAGGAGCGAAAGCGUGGGGAGCGAACAGG